rnacentral:rRNA from 1 species
CCAGCAGCUGCGGUAAUUCCAGCUCCAAUAGCGUAUAUUAAAGUUGCUGCAGUUAAAAAGCCCGUAGUUGGAUCUUGGGAGCUGGCGGGCGGUCCGCCGCGAGGCGAGCCACCGCCCGUCCCCGCCCCUUGCCUCUCGGCGCCCCCUCGAUGCUCUUAGCUGAGUGUCCCGCGGGGCCCGAAGCGUUUACUUUGAAAAAAUUAGAGUGUUCAAAGCAGGCCCGAGCCGCCUGGAUACCGCCGCUAGGAAUAAUGGAAUAGGACCGCGGUUCUAUUUUGUUGGUUUUCGGAACUAAGGCCAUGAUUAAGAGGGACGGCCGGGGGCAUUCGUAUUGAGCAGCUAGAGGUGAAAUUCUUGGACCGGCACAAGACGGACCAGAGCGAGAGCAUUUGCCAAGAAUGUUUUCA